AUUGAACGCUGGCGGCAGGCCUAACACAUGCAAGUCGAGCGGAUGACGGGAGCUUGCUCCUUGAUUCAGCGGCGGACGGGUGAGUAAUGCCUAGGAAUCUGCCUGGUAGUGGGGGACAACGUUUCGAAAGGAACGCUAAUACCGCAUACGUCCUACGGGAGAAAGCAGGGGACCUUCGGGCCUUGCGCUAUCAGAUGAGCCUAGGUCGGAUUAGCUAGUUGGUGGGGUAAUGGCUCACCAAGGCGACGAUCCGUAACUGGUCUGAGAGGAUGAUCAGUCACACUGGAGCUGAGACACGGUCCAGACUACUCCGGGAGGCAGCAGUGGGGAAUAUUGGACAAUGGGCGAAAGCCUGAUCCAGCCAUGCCGCGUGUGUGAAGAAGGUCUUCGGAUUGUAAAGCACUUUAAGUUGGGAGGAAGGGCAGUAAGCUAAUACCUUGCUGUUUUGACGUUACCGACAGAAUAAGCACCGGCUAACUCUGUGCCAGCCGCCGCGGUAA
rnacentral:rRNA from 1 species